ensembl:lncRNA
AGCAUUCUCCUUUGCCUUGAGCCCUCAGGGAUGAGGAUUUGGAGCCUUUGUCUCUGCUUUCCAGCACAUUUUCUCCUUUGCCAGUUGUCAGUAUGGCCUCACCAGGUUCCCUGGGGCAUCGUUCAGAGCCAAAGCCAUGGAUGUUGUGCCCUCACUUUGCAAGACCAGAGGUUUCAGAGGAUGCAAUGAAGGAGGGAUGUCCAUCCUGUUGAUGGGAACUGCAAAUAAAGGCUCGAGGCACUCACUCUCCUGCAGGCUUCAAAGGUCCAUGGGCCAUACAAACAGCAGGAAAAAAGCAGUUCCAGCUUAUGAACGCACCCGUAGUGCUGCUCCGUUGUUCUCCCUGAUUGAUGACAAGUGUUUUGGACAUCAAUAUUGCGGCUCCUCAGUUCUGCUAAUGUUGUGAAUAAGUACCCGCAGAAAACAAAACAGAGACCUAGUUGGGAACAGAUGCCCUAAUUCUAAUGGAGGAGCUUCCCACCAGCUCCUUUAGAGCCUGCUUCUUUAAAGCCUGCUUCUGAUGUGGGCUUGCUGCUCUCUCCGUAUGCUUUGCAGCUCCUCUGCACACCCCACAUCACAGACACACAUUUUUAAUUACCCCACCUUCCCUUCGUCCGGAUUGCUGCCACCCCUCAGCUACACUCUAUGAGGGUUUCAAGGAGCUGGUUUACGCAUGGGAUGUAUGCAUGGGAUGUCAGGCAUACCUUCUGAAGACACCCAC